rfam:Felis catus isolate Cinnamon breed Abyssinian chromosome A2, whole genome shotgun sequence.
GCCUGGGUGGCUCAGUCGGUUAGGCGUCCGACUUCGGCUCAGGUCACCAUCUCACGGUCCGUGGGUUCGAGCCCCACAUCGGGCU